UCCAGCCACUACCCUCCACGCAAAUGACCAGCCGGGCAUCUAUACACACCCCUGCUCCGCGGCUCUUCAAGGUAUUUCCCAAACACUACUUUUCAUCCUACAUUUUCCCCACCUUCCCCAAAAUAAAAUUAUUCGCAGGGGCAUCUGAUGGAAGGCCUAGCACCCAGCAGGCUGCAGGAAAGGUGCACAGAAACUGGCAGAGGAGGGACCAGACUGUAUGUAAUCCGAGAACCAGGAUUCCAACCCGGGCUCAGCCUGCCACCCGGCAGCUGUGUGACCUUGGGCACCCAGGCCUGCAGGACCCAGGUCUCUAUGAAGCAGCCCUCACACCUCGGAAGGUCACGCCACACUCACAAAACCACGUUUGGUUCCACCUUCAUACUUGAGCUCCGUAAGGAUGGCGCACGCCUCUCUGGAAGGAACGACCCACAACCUGAAAGGUGACAUGGGUUCAAGCCCUGGUCCGGGAAGAUCCCACAUGCCGCAG